GGCCUACGGGAGGCAGCAGUGGGGAAUAUUGCACAAUGGGCGCAAGCCUGAUGCAGCCAUGCCGCGUGUGUGAAGAAGGCCUUAGGGUUGUAAAGCACUUUCAGCGAGGAGGAAGGGUUCAGUGUUAAUAGCACUGUGCAUGACGGACUCGU
rnacentral:rRNA from 1 species